rnacentral:tRNA from 1 species
UCCCUGAAGGACUAGUGGUUAGGCCUUGGCGCUCUCACUGCCACAGCCUGAGUACGAUUCCCAGCCAGGGAA